rnacentral:rRNA from 1 species
GACGUAGGGCGCGAGCGUUGUCCGGAUUUAUUGGGCGUAAAGAGCUCGUAGGCGGCUUGUCGCGUCGACUGUGAAAUCCCGCGGCUCAACUGCGGGUCUGCAGUCGAUACGGGCAGGCUAGAGUUCGGUAGGGGAGACUGGAAUUCCUGGUGUAGCGGUGAAAUGCGCAGAUAUCAGGGAGGAACACCGGUGGCGAAGGCGGGGUC